rnacentral:rRNA from 1 species
CCUACGGUGGGCAGCAGUGGGGGAUAUUGCACAAUGGGGGGAACCCUGAUGCAGCGACGCCGCGUGGGUGAAGAAGCGCCUCGGCGCGUAAAGCCCUGUCAGCAGGGAAGAAAAUGACGGUACCUGAAGCAGAAGCCCCGGCUAACUACGUGCCAGCAGCCGCGGGAAUACGGAGGGGGCAAGCGUUAUCCGGAUUUACUGGGUGUAAAGGGGGCGCAGGGGGCGAUGCAAGCCAGGAGUGAAAGCCCGGGGCCCAACCCCGGGACUGCUGUUGGAACUGCGUGGCUGGAGUGCAGGAGGGGCAGGCGGAAGGCCUGGUGUAGCGGUGAAAUGCGUAGAUAGCAGGAGGAACACCGGUGGCGAAGGCGGCCUGCUGGACUGCAACUGACGUUGAGGCCCGAAAGCGUGGGGAGCAAACAGGAUUAGAUACCCCUGUAGUC